CCCUCUUUUAUCUUUUCUUCUUACCACGGCAAAGUGUACUUUCCGAGAAGAGAACCCAGGCGUUGAACCCGUACUGCAUGUCGACGGCCUUUUCUAUCCAUAAACCCAGCUGGUCUCGGGACCCACAUCGCUCCAUCACCCCUCCGAUCAAAAUCUGACGGCUGAGGUCCCUCACUGACCUUGAACACGUAUGUCCGUCCCGUGAAUCCAAAGGAAAGGAGCUGUGGUCCU
rnacentral:lncRNA from 1 species